UACGUAGGGGCCUAGCGUUGUCCGGAUUUAUUGGGCGUAAAGAGCUCGUAGGCGGUUUAGUGAGUCGGGUGUGAAAUCUCCACGCUCAACGUGGAGGGGCCACCCGAUACUGCCAUGACUAGAGUCCGGUAGGGGAGUGUGGAAUUCCCGGUGUAGCGGUGAAAUGCGCAGAUAUCGGGAGGAACACCAGUAGCGAAGGCGGCUCACUGGCCCGAUACUGACGCUGAGGCACGAAAGCGUGGGGAGCAAACAGG
rnacentral:rRNA from 1 species